rnacentral:rRNA from 1 species
UACGUAGGUGACAAGCGUUGUCCGGAUUUACUGGGCGUAAAGAGCGCGCAGGCGGUCGAUCAAGUCGAGUGUGAAAGCCCCCGGCUCAACUGGGGAGGUCAUUCGAAACUGGUCGACUCGAAGGCAGGAGAGGGUAGUGGAAUUCCCGGUGUAGUGGUGAAAUGCGCAGAUAUCGGGAGGAACACCGGUGGCGAAGGCGGAUCUCUGGGCCUGUCCUGACGCUCAGGCGCGAAAGCUAGGGGAGCAAACAGGG